AGUUUCCUGGAGUGUUUGCCAGUCACUAACGUCCUCGAGCCUAAUUCUGUACCCAGGGAGUCGUCCGUAGAUACCCGUGUGCAAGUCCGCGCGACGGAAAGCCUUAGGUAUUUCGAUGAUUACCCACCUUGAACCGAUUGGUUCAAGGGCAACGGUGACAGCGGCACUUCCGGGAACCUG
rnacentral:other from 1 species